rnacentral:rRNA from 1 species
UGCUCUUUGAAAAAAUAAAUAUAAAGAGUACUGCCUGCCCAGUGACGUUGUUUAACGGCCGCGGUAUUUUGACCGUGCGAAGGUAGCAUAAUCAUUUGUUUUUUAAAUGAAGACUGGAAUGAAUGGCAAGACGGAGAUUUAACUGUCUCUUUUUUUAGUAUCUUGAAAUUAAUUUUCUUGUGAAGAAGCAGGAAUAAAAUCGUAAGACGAGAAGACCCUAUUGAGCUUAAAUAUAUUUAUUAGGUAAUGAAGAAUUAAUUUCUACUAAUAAAAGAAAUAAAUAGAAAUCUAUAGAAAGUAAUUUAAUUAAUAAUACUAUUAUUUUGAUUGGGGCAAUCAUGGAGAAAAAAAUCCUCCAUUAUAAUUUAGAAAAUUAAUUUUUUAAAAUGUAAAUAUUAUAAUUUUUAAAUGAUCCACUUUUUGAGUGAUCAAAGGAACAAGUUACCAUAGGGAUAACAGCGUAAUUUUUUUGGAGAGUUCAUAUUGAUAAAAAAGUUUGCGACCUCGAUGUUGGAUCGGGAUAUCCUAAAAAUGCAGUAGUUUUUAAGGGUUGGUCUGUUCGUCCAUUAAAAUCCU